GCCAUUGACACACUUGGCAGAUUGGAAAUAGCUGGAGCAUCAGUUUCCUAAUUCUGAACCAUCUGGAAUUCCACCUGCUCAAAGUUAACAAUAUGGAGCUUGUUAAGCAAUUGUACCAUUUGCAACUUUCUCUUCAGUGGUGUGCCUGUGGACAAUGAGGAGUGAAGCAACUUAACUAUGGCUACCCAGCCUUAUGUUUCCAAGGAUAGAAGAAAGCGGCUAAUUGUAGACUUGUGUCUACAGUAGAAGGAGAAUGAUUGAUGUUUUCAUCACCCAACAGAGCAGGC